GAGAGAGGUUUCCAUGGCACCCAGAAGCUGACUUGGCCGCAGGGUCAAUGGUCAAUGGGCACAUUGUGUGGGAGUCUUGCGUGCCUCUCUCCCCUGGUGUGGGGGAGGAUGAGUAUGAGGGAGCCGAUCUCUCUGACUCCACAAACGCACCCCCCACCGACCUGCACUGUACUGUGGAUGGCUUGUGGGUCCAGGCAGCUUGCCAGCCUCCUCUCCUACCCUGCAGGAAGAGUGGGGCUGGGUGAGGUCUGAUUCAGGCACAGUCUUCAGGGCUGUUCCUCUGGAGAACGGAGCAGAGAGACGAAACAAGCCCAUGGCUCUGUCAUGCAGUUAUCACUAGCUGUGACAGCAGAAGUCUACCUGUGUCCCUCGUAAAGUCUUUGUAACAGGCUGGUGGGUGCAAGUGGGUGAUGUGUCAUGGUGGGUGGAGUGGGGAGGAGAGACCAGGUGAGGGAUGACAGAAGCAGGGGCCGUGGAGGGAGACAUGUGGGUGGAAGCGACACACAGGGUGGAGGGACCUUAGCAAGGACCCAGAGAGCUGGGGGGAGGAAGGGAGGACUAAUCCAGGAGUCCUGAGGAGUCCACCCACAGCUGGCUGGAAAGUGUGCAGACCCAGGCCACGAAAACAAUAGUCCCUACUCACCCUGAUUUGCAGCCUUUGCUGGUUUUCGUGAGUGGGAAUAGACGUGAGAGCAGUGAUCCCAGACAAACACCACCUUGGCGCUCAGGAAGCACAGAGCAGGGUGACUGGCUUCGUGGUGUUCCGGCUGUGCCACCCAGAAUCUGGAGACUGCAAUCAUCUCUGGAGAGACUGGGAGGGGAAAUAGAGACGCAAUGAGGUCCCGACCCCAGGAGACUCCAGGAAUCCUCAUUCCCCUGUGGGUACUGCUGAGCUGCUGGUUCUGAAAGUAUUUUCUUUGGAAACUACUUCUUUGGAGGGUUGGGACAUCCAGAUAGUCCUGGGGAAUAGAAAACUUGUUCUUUGCUAGAAUAUAUUUAAAAACAAGACAAUUGCAUGCUUCUUCUGGCAUCUAAAGCAUUUUUGGAAAGUGCUAAAAUCUUACUUAAAAAAAUUGAAGACCAAGAAGCAAGCUCUCCCUGAGAACCAGCACUAUUCAUGGGCCACUGCCAGUGGGGAAGACAGCCAGACCCCAGCCUUUUCCUGUGAGUCACCACCACUUGCAGACUGCGGGGAAGAGAACAAGAAUUCACAAAGAAGCAAGCCCUCCCUGUAAACCAGCAUCAUGCAUGGGCCCCUGCCUCCUGGGGACAGCCAGACCCCAGCACCUUCCAGCACACAGGGUGGGAAACAAGCAGAGCCAAUCUCUGCAGCCCCUUCCCCCACCGCCCUAAGUGACCGGCAGAUCCUGAGAAACAGACAGUGACCGUAGCUAUUGUGGUGAAAUGCAAUCUGAUGCUUGUGGUGUUUAGUGUUCAACUGACUUUGCAGAUCGAGGGCCAGUGGUCUGAUCAUCCAUUCAGAGGAGAAGAGGAUGCAAUGUGGCAUCUGUGGGGUCUCUCCUUCUGAAGGUGAUAGCCAUUGUUAAUUCGCUAUUAUCUUGUUUUGAAGUCCUGUAUCAUUUUCAUUGUUUUGUUGGGUUGGGUUUUAUUCUGUGUCAUUUUGUUUGAUUUUAUUAUAUUCAAUGGCAUGGACAGCUAUUUCAAAGAUAGUAAGAUAUAUCAUGAUAGCCAUUUUGGAUUUACUAUUGUCUUACUUUGAAGUCCUUUAUUGCAUUCAUUGUUUUGUUUUUACUGUGUAUUCUGUUCUGUUUUGUUUGAUUUUUACUAUGUCUGAAGAUAUCUGCAGCUAUUUUGAAAACAAAAUUGUUGAUUUCGUAUUGUUUUGAAGUCCUGUGUCACAUUGCUUUGUUUUGAUUAGCUUUAUUCUGUUUUAUGUUGCUUGGUUUUAUUCUCUUUAAAAUAAAAAAAAAAUUAAAAGUGUCUCUAAAAUCAA